rnacentral:rRNA from 1 species
CUUAGUUAAUUCUACUAGUAAUUAUAUACUUAUCUUAAAAAUUAAGCUAUAUAUAUCUAAAUAUAAAUAAUUAUACAGCGAAACUGUAAAUAGCUUAUUAUAUAAGUUAUCAUUUAUUUAAUAAUACUUUACUAUUUAGAUAACUAUAAUAAUUCUAAAGCUAAUAUAUACUAAAAAUCCUAACUUCAGAAAGAAUAUAUUUAUUAGAUUAAAAACUAAUAUCCUUCGGAGCUUACUAGUAAUUUAUAAUAACUUCUUAAAUUAUAUAACCUUAUACUAACAAUAGUUUAUUUAAAUUUCUUCCCUAUUAACUUUCAAUACUAAAAUAAUAUUCUAGUAUAGUUAUAAUAAGUAACAAAAAGUUAGGAUUCAACUCCAGAGAAGAAACCUAAGAAACAGCUACUACAUCCAAAGAAAACAGCAGGCAUACAAAUUACCCAAUCCCAACAUAGAGAGAUAAUAAUAAUAAAUACUAAUACAAAGCUCUUUUAGAUCUUAUAAUUAGAAUAAGUACAAUUUAAAUCCCUUAAUAAGAAACAAUUAAAAAGUAAGUCUAGUACCAGCAGCUACAGUAAUUCCAGCUCUAAUAGUAUAUAUUAAAAUUAUUAUAGUUAAAAAACUUAUAAUAGAACCUUAAGCCUAACUAGCUAAUCCACCUCACUAUAUAUACUAAUCUAACCAGACCUUUCCCUCUAUAGAACUAUAUACCCUUCACUAAGUAUACCAAGAAAACAGAACUUUUACUUUAAAAAAAUUAGAAUACUCCAAGCAGGCCUAUACUUAAAUACAUUAGUAUAGAAUAAUAGAAUAAGAUAUAUAAUUCUAUUUUAUUAGUUUCUAGGACCACUAUAAUAAUUAAUAGGGAUAAUUAGAAAUAUCAGUAUUUAAUUAUCAGAAGUGAAAUUCUUAGAUUUAUUAAAAACUAACUGCUAUAAAAGUAUUUACUAAGGAUAUUUUUAUUUAUUAGAAACGAAAAUUAGGAGAUUAAAGAUAAUCAGAUACUAUUAUAAUCUUAACUAUAAACUAUACCAACUAGAAAUUAGAUAAUAUUAUUUUUUAACUUAUUUAGCACCUUAUAAGAAAUCAAAAUACUUAAGCUCUAGGGGGAGUAUAGUCAUAAGGCUGAAACUUAAAGAAAUUGACAGAAAGGUACCACUAGGAGUAAAUAGUAGCUAUUCAAGCUCUACUUCAGACAGUAAACCUAUAAAGAGUCUAGUAGCUAGCUUUAAAUUACUAGUCACUCCAGUAGUAACAAUAUCCCCCAAUUACAGGAAACCCUCAGAGGGUAACACUCCUAAAUGACGCUCGAAAGAGAUAUUAUAGCAGUAGUAUAACAGCCGCCAGUAUAAGGAUAAUAUACUACUUAUAAGGUAACUUACAGCUAAGCUCCUAACUAUAAGGAAGAUUUAGAGACUCAAUAGGGAUAAGUAGCGCCCCCAGACGCCACCUAAAAUAGAGUCUAUACCCACUUAAAAGAGUAGAAACUAACUAGUAUAUUACCUAAAAAGGAAACCUGCAGCUUAAUUUAACUUAAUAUAGAGAAACUUACCAGAUCUAAAUAUAAUAAGAAUUAAUAAAUUAAAAGCUCUUUCUUAAUUUUAUAGGUAGUAAUACAUAACUAUUCUUAGUUAGUAAAGUAAUUUAUCUACUUAAUUAUAAUAAUAAAUAAAACCUUAACCUACUAAAUAACUUAUAUUACUUUAGUAAUAUACUAACUUUUUAGAGGAACUAUCAGCUUAAACUAAUAGAAGUUUGAAGUAAUAAUAAGUUAACUUUCACAGGUUUAUAAUAGU